UAUUGCACAAUGGGGGAAACCCUGAUGCAGCGACGCCGCGUGCGUGAAGAAGUAUUUCGGGGUGUAAAGCUCUAUCAGCAGGGAAGAAAACGAUGGUACCUGACUAAGAAGCCCCGGCUAACUACGUGCCAGCAGCCGCGGUAAUACGUAGGGGGCAAGCGUUAUCGGGAUUUACUGGGUGUAAAGGGAGCGUAGACGGCCAGACAAGUCAGAAGUGAAAGCCCAGGGCUCAACCCUGGGACUGCUUUUGAAACUGCCGGGCUGGAGUGCAGGAGAGGUAAGCGGAAUUCCUAGUGUAGCGGUGAAAUGCGUAGAUAUUAGGAGGAACACCAGUGGCGAAGGCGGCCUGCUGGACGAUGACUGACGUUGAGGCUCGAAAGCGUGGGGAGCAAACAGG
rnacentral:rRNA from 1 species